rfam:Lepisosteus oculatus linkage group LG26, whole genome shotgun sequence.
CCAAAGGCUCUUUUUAGAGCCACCCACGUUUUCAGAAAAUAAGGAG